CACGUAGGGGCCAAGCGUUGUCCGGAUUUAUUGGGCGUAAAGAGCUCGUAGGCGGUUCGACAAGUCGGGUGUGAAAACUCCGGGCUCAACCCGGAGACGCCACCCGAUACUGUCGUGACUGGAGUCCGGUAGGGGAGUGGGGAAUUCCUGGUGUAGCGGUGAAAUGCGCAGAUAUCAGGAGGAACACCGGUGGCGAAGGCGCCACUCUGGGCCGGUACUGACGCUGAGGCACGAAAGCGUGGGGAGCAAACAGG
rnacentral:rRNA from 1 species